UAACAUUAGUGAGAAUGUAAAUCAUCAUUCUGUAACUCUAGUGUAAAUUAGUUGGUCUGUUAUAAGUCCUGCCCACUUCCUUGCAUUGUCACACAUGCUUCAGUGCUCUGAGAGUGUUUAUAGUGCUGUGAGUUUAACACUUCAUGACUGAGAGCAGAACAGAACACAAUCUUCAUCAUCACACAAGACAAAAGAACAACAAUGAACAAAAUCACCUUCUUCAUCUGGACUCUCACACUGAUCGCUCAAGAGUGUAGAGGACAGAUCACUGUAAUUCAGAGUCCAUCAAUAAUAACAGCUCAACCAGGACAAGAAGUCAGAAUAAACUGUAAAACCAACAGUAGAGUGUAUAAUGGUAAUGAGUUAGCCUGGUACUUACAGAAACCUGGAGAAGCUCCUAAACUCCUCAUAUAUGAUGCAUCAAUCCAUUAUACUGGAACUCCAUCUAGAUUCAAUGGCAGUGGAUCUGACAGUGAUUUCACUCUGACCAUUAGUGGAGUCCAGACUGAAGAUACAGGAGAUUAUUACUGUCAGAGUUACCACUGGAUCAACAGUAAAGAUGUGUUCACACAGUGAUAAAGAGUGGUACAAAAACCUCGGUCAGUCAGACGUCACAGUGAUGCACUGAUACAGCUGAGAGAUACUGCAGCUGCUCAUACAACACAAUCACACACAACACUGAUCACAGACAAACACUAAUAACACUAGAUCAUCUAAAUGAACAUAAAUUUGCUUGAAGCUCAUCAGUAUUUUUGUAUAUAACAUGAAUAUUUUAUUGAUGUGAUCAUGGCUUUUAUUCCAGUAAGGACUGUUAUUGUUUUAUUAGUGUUUCAUAGUAAGGACUGAUUGCCAAAACCAGUUUAAUAAUAUGAUUGUCAUAAUUUAAUUACAUUUUUAUAUUUUUUUAUAGAAUGAUUGUAGUGAUGUUUUCAUUUGUUGUAUGUAGAGAUUGUGGAUCUCUUCUGUUGUGUUUGUCUCUUCUCCAUCUUCACUGUUUUUCAUCAUCUCUCUGUUCCACAUGAUGUUCACUUGAGUUUCUCUGUAAAUUAUAUUCAAUGAUCUGAAUUCAAUCCAAACAUGUUCUCAAGCUCAACUCUUCAACAGUGAAUGUAAGCCACAUCUUCAAAUCUCACACCACUGAAUGAUUUACUGUCAGAGACUGGGUUGCUCUCCUCAAAUAUGUCUCAACAUCGUCUCAAACUUUGCUCAGAUUUGCCAAAGUCUGAAAUAGUCCAUUUAAAUUCGUACAAGUCAAAAUGAUCUGAGCUUAAGUUAACUUUAUUGUUCAUUCUGUUUGUCACGGAGCAGAAAUUUAUCUUUGACACUAUAGUCAAGUUAUGUUUACCACAGACCUUAUUUUACUCAUAAUUUUGAAAACAAAAAAACAAAAAAAAAAAACACAUAAUAAAACCUCAUUGCAAAAUCUUA